CUGAAGGCCACUGGAGUACAGGCAGGUUUUGUCCUUGGCUUCAGCUCUGGAACCCGCAGUUUUGGUACCUGAUCAGUUACUAACUUUAGGCAGAAGCCUUUUGUGAUAACGUGACAGAGAGACCAGGUUCUUCCUCACACAGCUGUACGCUCUGUUUGCCGUUUCAGCACCCCUCCAUCAGAAUCCAGAGGGUUCUUAUAUAUUGUGUGUACCUGAUGGAGAUUGGAGCUCAUUCGAGUGAAAAAGCUGAAGUUGAUUCUAUUCAACUUAUUACGUGUUGCUCACUUUAUACUUUUUCUGGAGGAAGAGGAAAAGAACAACUGACCUGACUCCUCAGAUGAGGCCAGGAGCCAGAAUAGCAGGCCAGCUGCUGGAUUCCCCUUCAGCCCAUGUGGAUAUGUUUCAGAGAGCCAUCCCCAGGGGUUGGG
rnacentral:lncRNA from 1 species